GACGAACGCUGGCGGCGUGCCUAAUACAUGCAAGUCGAGCGAGACUCUUCGGGGUCUAGCGGCGGACGGGUGAGUAACACGUGGGCAACCUGCCUGUAAGACCGGGAUAACACCGGGAAACCGGUGCUAAUACCGGAUAAUCCUUUUCCUCUCAUGAGGAAAAGCUGAAAGUCGGUUUCGGCUGACACUUACAGAUGGGCCCGCGGCGCAUUAGCUAGUUGGUGAGGUAACGGCUCACCAAGGCGACGAUGCGUAGCCGACCUGAGAGGGUGAACGGCCACACUGGGACUGAGACACGGCCCAGACGCCUAAGGGAGGCAGCAGUAGGGAAUCUUCCACAAUGGACGAAAGUCUGAUGGAGCAACGCCGCGUGAGCGAUGAAGGCCUUCGGGUCGUAAAGCUCUGUUGUUAGGGAAGAACAAGUACCGGAGUAACUGCCGGUACCUUGACGGUACCUAACCAGAAAGCCACGGCUAACUACGUGCCAGCCGCCGCAGUAACAC
rnacentral:rRNA from 1 species